UUUUUUUUUUCACGAAGAAUUAACCCCAAGCACUAAUUAGCAUAAUUUGUUAUCUACUUUACAAAAAGAAGAUACAAGUGGAUUAAAAUGUAAUUGGACCUAGUAACUCCAAAGGUACAACCUCCCAUGGAACACUGAUGUUUGGUGGGUAUACGAUAGGGAUGCUGUUGAAUUUUUUGGAAGUUGCUUGUGGGAUGAAUUCAAGUUAUCUUUAUGGAUGCAGGCUCAUCCUGAUCUAUUACAUGCUUUUCCAGCGAUUGCUGCAGGUAGUGGAGGACUUGACAGCACAAAGGUUGAGAGAGAAAGAGGCGGAACUAGAGAAGGGGUUGGCUAAACUCCAAUUUGGAAGAGUGAGCAACACAGCUGAAUCCUAAAGUGCAAAGUGGAAGGCUAUGGUGAUGGAGUCGGAGGUCAUGUCUUGAUUGUAGCGUCGCUCAGGCCAUCGUGGAAUUUCGGAGUAACACAUCGUCGCUGCUAUAUUUUUGGUGUGAUAAAGAGAGAGA
rnacentral:lncRNA from 1 species